rnacentral:rRNA from 1 species
CAGCAGCCACGGGAAUACGUAGGGUGCAAGCGUUAAUCGGAAUUACUGGGCGUAAAGCGUGCGCAGGCGGUUAUAUAAGACAGAUGUGAAAUCCCCGGGCUCAACCUGGGAACUGCAUUUGUGACUGUAUAGCUAGAGUACGGCAGAGGGGGAUGGAAUUCCGCGUGUAGCAGUGAAAUGCGUAGAUAUGCGGAGGAACACCGAUGGCGAAGGCAAUCCCCUGGGCCUGUACUGACGCUCAUGCACGAAAGCGUGGGGAGCAAACAGGAUUAGAUACCCGGGUAGUCCCUGUCUCUUAUAA